CGAUGUCAGAUUAGGUAGUUGGUGGGAUAAAAGCUUACCAAGCCGACGAUCUGUAGCUGGUCUGAGAGGAUGAUCAGCCACACUGGGACUGAGACACGGCCCAGACUCCUACGGGAGGCAGCAGUGGGGAAUUUU
rnacentral:rRNA from 1 species